AGCGAACGCUGGCGGUAGGCCUAACACAUGCAAGUCGAACGGCAGCACAGUAAGAGCUUGCUCUUACGGGUGGCGAGUGGCGGACGGGUGAGGAAUACAUCGGACUCUACUUUUUCGUGGGGGUUCACGUAGGGAAACUUACUCUAAUACCGCAUACGCCCUACGGGUGAAAGCAGGGGAUCUUCGGACCUUGCGCGAUUGAACGCGCGGCUGUCGGAUUAGCUGGUUGGCGGGGUAAAGGCCCACCAAGGCGCCGAUCCGUAGCUGGUCUGAGAGGAUGGUCAGCCACACUGGAACUGAGACACGGUCCAGACUCCUACGGGAGGCAGCAGUGGGGAAUAUUGGACAAUGGUCGCAAGCCUGAUCCAGCCAGACCGCGUGGGUGAAGAAGGCCUUCGGGUUGGAAAGCCCGUUUGUUGGGAAAGAAAAGCAGCAGGUUAAGACCCCGCUGUUCUGACGGUACCCAAAGAAGAAGCACCGGCUAACUUCGUG
rnacentral:rRNA from 1 species